UUGCUCACCAGGAUAAACAAGCAUUAGCACAUUUGCUUGUAUGAGUAGAUCAGCUGAAAAACAGCUGAAACAAAAUGUGUCACUUAUUUGAAAGUCGCUGACUGUAUUAUUUCAUGAAACAUACUAGACAUCAAGAUCGGAAGUAAAAGAAUUUUUGCUCGUGUUGUCUGCAGCUGGGCUUGAACUAGCAACCUCUGCU